rnacentral:rRNA from 1 species
ACUGAACGCUGGCGGCAUGCCUUACACAUGCAAGUCGAACGGCAGCACGGGAGCAAUCCUGGUGGCGAGUGGCGAACGGGUGAGUAAAGUAUGGGAACGUGCCCAGUCGUGGGGGAUAACGUAGCGAAAGUUACGCUAAUACCGCAUACGAUCUAUGGAUGAAAGCGGGGGAUCGCAAGACCUCGCGCGCUUGGAGCGGCCGAUAUCAGAUUAGGUAGUUGGUGGGGUAAAGGCUCACCAAGCCGACGAUCUGUAGCUGGUCUGAGAGGACGACCAGCCACACUGGGACUGAGACACGGCCCAGACUCCUACGGGAGGCAGCAGUGGGGAAUUUUGGACAAUGGGCGAAAGCCUGAUCCAGCCAUGCCGCGUGCAGGAUGAAGGCCUUCGGGUUGUAAACUGCUUUUGUACGGAACGAAAAGGUUUGGCCUAAUAAGCUGAGCUCAUGACGGUACCGUAAGAAUAAGCACCGGCUAACUACGUGCCAGCCGCCGCGGUAA